UACGGGGGGUGCAAGCGUUAUCCGGAUUCACUGGGUUUAAAGGGUGCGUAGGUGGGUUGAUAAGUCAGUGGUGAAAUCCCCGAGCUUAACUUGGGAACUGCCAUUGAUACUAUUGAUCUUGAAUACCGUGGAGGUCAGCGGAAUAUGUCAUGUAGCGGUGAAAUGCUUAGAUAUGACAUAGAACACCAAUUGCGAAGGCAGCUGGCUACGCGAAUAUUGACACUGAUGCACGAAAGCGUGGGGAUCAAACAGG
rnacentral:rRNA from 1 species